rnacentral:piRNA from 1 species
UGCAGUUGUGCCUGAUAGGAGGG